GUCGGGAUAGCUCAGCUGGUAGAGCAGAGGACU
rnacentral:tRNA from 6 species